AUGAAAAGUGAGGCUUUGUGGGCGCGAGUGGGAGGAUUUUUUUUACCGCCGUGGCUUGUGGUCCACCUCCACGGCUGCCGUCGCCGGACCUUAGCGUAUGCUCCGCACUGAGGCGUUUGGCUGACGGUGCAUGUGCAAGCCCCGCGCCACGCCUUGCCGUUGAACCUGAAGAGAAACAAGAAAGAUUGAAGUGAAAGGAUUGAUUUCAUUGAUAGUGACUGCAGGUACUUAUAUGUCCUGAGCCGUCGUGUUUACCUGCCGGUUACAAGGUUCGCGUCGUUUCGGGCUCCAAGCGUGUGGCGUGUCGACCCGGUGUUGGCAGCGGUGGGCGACCGCAUGGUCGCCCUUGGCGGCAGGUGUCCCCUUGCGCUUGCCGAUGGAGAGGCCGCGGCCGCAGCGGAGGUUCAUGAAAGCGGAAACUGGACCACCUGUGAUCCGCUGCCGUCGAUGCUCCGGGAAUACGCCGCAGCUACCUGGCUCUCAGCGGCCGUGACGGAUCAGAGAGUGUACCUCACGGACAGAACCACCGGGUGGACGAGCUGGUUCGAUCCAUUGAAGCGGCGGUGGGGUCCCACCCGUCGCCUGAGACCAGACGCCAGCGUUUACACGUGGGGCGUCGCGCCUGGUCGUGCCGGCGCUGAGCGGCUGAUGCUGCUCGGAGCGAAGCGCGACGGCGAGGAAGCAAACAGAGUCGUUGUCCAAGCAUGGGAGGUGGAUGGCGACGCUCUGGAUCUGUCCCCCGGCGGGGCGCAUGACGCAAUGCCGACCGAACUGUCCGAUCGGCUCUGCUCCCACGGCGAAGACGAUGAAGACGAGUGGAUGUCCCCAUCGAUCGGGAUUUGCGGCACGGCAACAGGAGGGUACGUGUACAAUGCGGCCGAGCCGGCCAAUGGGGCCGUGCUCUACGAUCUGACUGAGAGGCAGGCGGGGACCGUCGUGGAGCGGUGGGAGUGGUUACCGCGCGCACCGUCAGUUCAGGCCGAGUCACUGGACCGCGCCAUCCUUGGGUGCUCUCCGGUGGGGUUGGACGAGCGGCCACGGCGACUGCCACCGGUGGACAACUGA
rnacentral:rRNA from 1 species